AGCGAGAUGACCGAGUUGGUCCAAGAUGCGAGAUUAAAGUUGUGGUAUGAAUGGGUGUGGGUUCGAAUCCCACUCUCAAUA
rnacentral:tRNA from 1 species